rnacentral:lncRNA from 1 species
UCUUGAUUGUCUAGUAAGUAAAGAGUAUUGUAUGAAGAGAGUUGGAGUAAUCUUGUACCGAAGAUAACGAUGGAGAAACCAAUCACGAACACACGUUUCAGAACGUUUCCAACAGCGUGAGUCAAUGGUGCAACCCUCUCCAAGGUAUUGGUAGCCAACUGCAACCGAGGGUUUUUAUAAAAUGUUUUAGUUUCUUUAGCAAAACGCAGGAUUAAAAGGUUAAAAGAUUGAAAUUUGAAAACAUUACCUGGUUGUAGAGAUGGUAAAACAUUCCAACCCAGAAGAGAUCAGUGAUGAAUUUAGUCAUUCCCACUUUAGCAAUUGCGUCAGCGAAACCGUGGUUCAGUAGUUUAGGACCUUCAACCUAAGAACAAAAUUUAACCAAAGACCCUAAUUAAUAAUACAAGAAAAACAUAUUACUUCUUAUAUAAGUAACCAGUGAGAGAUGAUAAAAGUGACUUACGAUGAUGGCAGGAGGAAUGCAAACGAAGAGAGCGAUGAUGGAGAUGUAAGCAUAGACAUUUGUACUGUCCAUAUCAGUCUGAAAGAAAAACACAAUCCGGUUUCAAUAAUCAAAACUUGAUGCGAGUUAAUAGCGUAGAGAAGAAGAGAUAUAAGAAUCAAG